rnacentral:rRNA from 1 species
UCGGGAAUUUUGGGCAAUGGGCGAAAGCCUGACCCAGCAACGCCGCGUGAAGGAUGAAGUAUUUCGGUAUGUAAACUUCGAAAGAAUAGGAAGAAUAAAUGACGGUACUAUUUAUAAGGUCCGGCUAACUACGUGCCAGCAGCCGCGGUAAUACGUAGGGACCAAGCGUUGUUCGGAUUUACUGGGCGUAAAGGGCGCGUAGGUGGCUUGACAAGUCACUUGUGAAAUCUCUGGGCUUAACCCAGAACGGCCAAGUGAAACUGUCAUGCUAGAGUGCAGAAGGGGCAAUCGGAAUUCUUGGUGUAGCGGUGAAAUGCGUAGAUAUCAAGAGGAACACCUGAGGUGAAGACGGGUUGCUGGGCUGACACUGACGCUGAGGCGCGAAAGCCAGGGGAGCAAACGGGAUUAGAUACCCGGGUAGUCCCUGAGCGGGCUGGCAAGGCGCAU